rnacentral:rRNA from 1 species
UACGUAGGGUGCAAGCGUUAAUCGGAAUUACUGGGCGUAAAGCGUGCGCAGGCGGUUCGGAAAGAGAGGUGUGAAAUCCCAGGGCUUAACCUUGGAACUGCACUUCUAACUACCAGGCUAGAGUACGUCAGAGGGGGGUAGAAUUCCACGUGUAGCAGUGAAAUGCGUAGAGAUGUGGAGGAAUACCGAUGGCGAAGGCAGCCCCCUGGGAUGAUACUGACGCUCAUGCACGAAAGCGUGGGGAGCAAACAGG